UGGGGAAUCUUGCACAAUGGGGGAAACCCUGAUGCAGCGACGCCGCGUGAACGAUGAAGCCCUUCGGGGUGUAAAGUUCUUUCGACAGGAACGAUAAUGACGGUACCUGGAGAAGAAGCUGCGGCUAACUACGUGCCAGCAGCCGCGGUAAUACGUCGGCAGCGAGCGUUGUUCGGAGUUACUGGGCGUAAAGAGUGCGUAGGCGGCGAGCCAAGUUUGGUGUGAAAUCUCCCGGCUUAACCGGGAGGGUGCGCCGAAAACUGGUUGGCUGGAGUAUGGGAGAGGAAAGCGGAAUUCCUGGUGUAGCGGUGAAAUGCGUAGAUAUCAUGAGGAACACCUGCGGUGUAGACAGCUUUCUGGACCAAAACUGACGCUGAGGCACGAAAGCGUGGGUAGCAAACA
rnacentral:rRNA from 1 species